GGCAAAUAGAUAUACAGAUAGAAAGAUUACUAAAGUAGAGUCACAGAAAGACAUACGUAGACAGACAGAGAGGCACAUAUAUAGAUAGAAGCUUACAAGAGCAGAUAAAACAGAGAUUGAGAGAUGCUACCAAUACCUGGAGCUGUACGCUAAGCAAUUACUUCCCUUUCUUAUUUGUAAUGCAUCCAAUGCUGUGUGCGCCAUGCUUAGAAUCCCUUUUGAAAAAGCACCAGCUUUUGAUAAUGUGUAUAUGAGUAGCUGCACAAAAUAUAUAGCUGCUAGAAGUUCCAUUGCUGAGGCAUAGAUCUCUAAGCCAUUGAGAUGGUGCGAGAACCAUGAAUAUAGGUGAAGCUCUGUUAGGGCCUCAGUUAUAACUGGGGAGAAAAAGAAUGUUCAAACAGUUACAGCAGCAGUUACGGCUAUGACAUCACAACAUAACAUCACCUAUUAUGAUG